rnacentral:rRNA from 1 species
CCGGCGCACGGGUGAGUAACGCGUAUGCAACCUGCCUAUCAGAGGGGGAUAACCCGGCGAAAGUCGGACUAAUACCGCAUGAAGCAGGGGCCCCGCAUGGGGAUAUUUGCUAAAGAUUCAUCGCUGAUAGAUAGGCAUGCGUUCCAUUAGGCAGUUGGCGGGGUAACGGCCCACCAAACCGACGAUGGAUAGGGGUUCUGAGAGGAAGGUCCCCCACAUUGGUACUGAGACACGGACCAA